GAUGAAGAACGUAGCGAAAUGCGAUAAGUAAUGUGAAUUGCAGAAUUCAGUGAAUCAUCGAAUCUUUGAACGCACAUUGCGCCCGCCAGUAUUCUGGCGGGCAUGCCUGUCCGAGCGUCAUUUCAACCCUCGAACCCCUCCGGGGGGUCGGCGUUGGGGACCUCGGGAGCCCCUAAGACGGGAUCCCGGCCCCGAUAUACAGUGGCGGUCUCGCCGCAGCCUCUCCUGCGCAGUAGUUUGCACAACUCGCACCGGGAGCGCGGCGCGUCCACGUCCGUAAAACACCCAACUUCUGAAAUGUUGACCUCGGAUCAGGUAGGAAUACCCGCUGAACUUAAGCAUAUCAAUAAGCGGAGGA
rnacentral:misc_RNA from 1 species